AGACCCGAAACCCGGUGAUCUAGCCAUGGGCAGGUUGAAGGUUGGGUAACACUAACUGGAGGACCGAACCGACUAAUGUUGAAAAAUUAGCGGAUGACCUGUGGCUGGGGGUGAAAGGCCAAUCAAACCGGGAGAUAGCUGGUUCUCCCCGAAAGCUAUUUAGGUAGCGCCUCGUGAAUUCAUCUCCGGGGGUAGAGCACUGUUUCGGCUAGGGGGCCAUCCCGGCUUACCAACCCGAUGCAAACUGCGAAUACCGGAGAAUGUUAUCACGGGAGACACACGGCGGGUGCUAACGUCCGUCGUGAAGAGGGAAACAACCCAGACCGCCAGCUAAGGUCCCAAAGUCAUGGUUAAGUGGGAAACGAUGUGGGAAGGCCCAGACAGCCAGGAUGUUGGCUUAGAAGCAGCCAUCAUUUAAAGAAAGCGUAAUAGCUCACUGGUCGAGUCGGCCUGCGCGGAAGAUGUAACGGGGCUAAACCAUGCACCGAAGCUGCGGCAGCGACACUCAGGUGUUGUUGGGUAGGGGAGCGUUCUGUAAGCCUGCGAAGGUGUGUCGUGAGGCAUGCUGGAGGUAUCAGAAGUGCGAAUGCUGACAUAAGUAACGAUAAAGCGGGUGAAAAGCCCGCUCGCCGGAAGACCAAGGGUUCCUGUCCAACGUUAAUC
rnacentral:rRNA from 1 species